rnacentral:rRNA from 1 species
GACGAACGCUGGCGGCAUGCCUAAUACAUGCAAGUCGAGCGAACAGAUGAAGUGCUUGCACUUCUGACGUUAGCGGCGAACGGGUGAGUAACACGUAAGGAAUCUACCUAUAAGCGGGGGAUAACAUUCGGAAACGGGUGCUAAUACCGCAUAAUAUCUUCUUCCGCAUGGAAGAAGAUUGAAAGACGGCUCUGCUGUCACUUAUAGAUGACCUUGCGGUGCAUUAGUUAGUUGGUGGGGUAAUGGCCUACCAAGACGAUGAUGCAUAGCCGACCUGAGAGGGUGAUCGGCCACAUUUGGACUGGGACACGGCCCAAACUCCUACGGGAGGCAGCAGUAGGGAAUCUUCCGCAAUGGGCGAAAGCCUGACGGAGCAAUGCCGCGUGAGUGAAGAAGGCCUUCGGGUCGUAAAACUCUGUUAUAAGAGAAGAACAAAUUGUAGAGUAACUGCUACAGUCUUGACGGUAUCUUAUCAGAAAGCCACGGCUAACUACGUGCCAGCAGCCGCGGUAA